rnacentral:tmRNA from 1 species
GGGGGCGUACUGGUUUCGACCUUGUGAGUACGCCGGAGGCGGCAUGCCGAGGAUGGUUCGUUGGCCUCGUAAAAAAUCGAACCAAAAACAUAAAAGCUAACGAAGAGUUGGCCCUCGCAGCCUAAGUCUGCGACGUUCGUGCUCUAAUCCCGGCUAGGAGACACGAACGCAUUUAGUCGGGUGGGUAGGCUUGUGGAGACAGCGCGCAAGCCGCCGAGAAAUUCCAUGCUGACUAAGCUGCGCAAUUCGUGUUGGGGUGAUUCUGCGCGGACGAAAACUUACCCUGACUAAGCAUGUAGUCGCGGCCGGUUUCCUUGCUCGGGACGCGGGUUCAACUCCCGCCGCCUCCACCA